rnacentral:misc_RNA from 2 species
AUCGUUGCCCAAUCCCUAUUGCAGUGCAAUAGGAAUUUCUAGGGCGAAUGAUGGCUUCCCGUGAGCGUUGUUGCCUCGCGGUUGGUUGAAAAUCGAGUCCUUGGUGGGGUGUGCCAUGAUAGAUGGUGGUCGAGUUAGCACGAUACCGAUCGUGUGCAUGCUCCCCAAAAUAUGGCCUCUAUGACCCACAUGCGUCUUUUGACGCACA